UGCGACCCCAGGUCAGGCGGGACUACCCGCUGAGUUUUAA
rnacentral:rRNA from 1 species